rfam:Edaphobacillus lindanitolerans strain MNA4 genome assembly, contig: Ga0116976_11
AGGGCGGUAUCGUAACUGAACUGCACCUGAUAAACAGCUGAUCACCGGGAUUUGAUGAAAUGACUGAUCCGCCUUGAUCCAGAAACCGACAGGGACGGAGAA